UUAAAACGCUCGUAGUUGGGUAUUUGUCGGACGCGCCUGGUCCAUCCAAGUGAUAGGUACUAGGGAUGCGGGCGACAUUCUACUGGGGACAGUAUUUGUACUUAGUUGUGCAGUACUGGAGCCAGGACUAUUACUUUGAGAAAAUGAGAGUGUUCCAAGCGGGCGUUUGCCAGAAUAUAUUAGCAUGGAAUAAUAGCAUAGGACCUCAUUCCGAGGCUGUUGGUUAUUGGAGUGAGGGAACGCAAAUAGGGAUAGUUGGGGGCAUUCGUAUUUAACUGUCAGAGGUGAAUUUCUUGGAUUUUUUAAAGACGAACUACUGCGAAAGCAUCUGCCCAGGAUGUUUUUAUUAAUCAAGAACGAAAGUUAGGGGAUCGAAGACGAUCAGAUACCGUCCUAGUCUUAACCAUAAACUAUGCCGACUAGAGAUUGGGGUCGUCAGCUUUGUGACGCCCUCAGCAGCUUGAGAGAAAUCAAAGUCUUCGGGUUCCGGGGGGAGUAU
rnacentral:rRNA from 1 species